UAUGGGACAACUACCAUCUUCUGGAACAUGACACAAAGACACAUCAACGCUAAACGAAAUGCUUGUGUGAACCAACAAAGUUUAAGGUUUGAAAUACAGAGUGAACUGAAAUUCUUCAGCGAUGAUUCACUCCCCUACGGUGUCUUGCUUUUUUCUGCUUUAGGAAGGACUCCAAGACAAUUGGAUUCACCACAUAGCAGACUUCUCAGGGACAGAAUUAUUACUAACAAAAUGAACAGAGCACAAGAAGAGGAAAGCCAAGGCACUCAAUUCAUUUGUAAAAUGGUAAAGGAUGAUUGAUACUGUAG